rnacentral:rRNA from 1 species
CCAGACUCCUACGGGAGGCAGCAGUGGGGAAUAUUGCACAAUGGGCGAAAGCCUGAUGCAGCAACGCCGCGUGAAGGAAGAAGGCCUUCGGGUCGUAAACUUCUGUCCUUGGGGAAGAAGAACUGACGGUACCCAAGGAGGAAGCCCCGGCUAACUACGUGCCAGCAGCCGCGGUAAUACGUAGGGGGCAAGCGUUAUCCGGAAUUACUGGGUGUAAAGGGAGCGUAGGCGGGACGGCAAGUCAGAUGUGAAAACUGAGGGCUCAACUUUCAGACUGCAUUUGAAACUGCUGUUCUUGAGUGAAGUAGAGGUAAGCGGAAUUCCUAGUGUAGCGGUGAAAUGCGUAGAUAUUAGGAGGAACAUCGGUGGCGAAGGCGGCUUACUGGGCUUUUACUGACGCUGAGGCUCGAAAGCGUGGGGAGCAAACAGGAUUAGAUACCCUUGUAC